rnacentral:rRNA from 1 species
CUGGCUCAGGAUGAACGCUAGCGACAGGCUUAACACAUGCAAGUCGAGGGGCAGCGGUGGUGAAGGCUUGCCUUUACCAGCCGGCGACCGGCGCACGGGUGAGUAACACGUAUGCAACCUGCCUGCCACAGCCGGAUAAUCGGGAGAAAUUCCGUCUAAUACGGCAUAAUGCAUCGACGGGACAUCCUGUUGGUGCCAAAGGUUGAUUCCGGUGGCGGAUGGGCAUGCGUCGCAUUAGUUAGUUGGCGGUGUAACGGACCACCAAGACGACGAUGCGUAGGGGUUCUGAGAGGAAGGUCCCCCACACUGGUACUGAGACACGGACCAGACUCCUACGGGAGGCAGCAGUGAGGAAUAUUGGUCAAUGGGCGGGAGCCUGAACCAGCCAAGUCGCGUGAGGGAUGACGGCCCUAUGGGUUGUAAACCUCUUUUGCCGGGGAGCAAAGUGCCGCACGUGUGCGGUUUGGAGAGUACCCGGAGAAAAAGCAUCGGCUAACUCCGUGCCAGCAGCCGCGGUAAUACGGAGGAUGCGAGCGUUAUCCGGAUUUAUUGGGUUUAAAGGGUGCGUAGGCGGACGCUUAAGUCAGCGGUAAAAUUGCGGGGCUCAACCUCGUCGAGCCGUUGAAACUGGGUGCCUUGAGUGGGCGAGAAGUACGCGGAAUGCGUGGUGUAGCGGUGAAAUGCAUAGAUAUCACGCAGAACUCCGAUUGCGAAGGCAGCGUACCGGCGCCCAACUGACGCUGAAGCACGAAGGCGUGGGUAUCGAACAGGAUUAGAUACCCUGGUAGUCCACGCAGUAAACGAUGAAUGCUAGUUGUCCGGGGCGAUUGAGUUCUGGGUGACACAGCGAAAGCGUUAAGCAUUCCACCUGGGGAGUACGCCGGCAACGGUGAAACCCAAAGGAAUUGACGGGGGCCUGCACAAGCGGAGGAACAUGUGGUUUAAUUCGAUGAUACGCGAGGAACCUUACCCGGGCUCAAACGCAGGAGAGAUGUUUUUGAAAGGAGGCAGCCAGCAAUGGUCUCUUGCGAGGUGCUGCAUGGUUGUCGUCAGCUCGUGCCGUGAGGUGUCGGCUUAAGUGCCAUAACGAGCGCAACCCCUACCUACAGUUGCCAUCGCGUGAUGGCGGGCACUCUGUGGGGACUGCCUGCGCAAGCAGUGAGGAAGGCGGGGAUGACGUCAAAUCAGCACGGCCCUUACGUCCGGGGCGACACACGUGUUACAAUGGCAGAUACAGCGGGAAGCCACCCGGCGACGGGGCGCGGAACCCGAAAACCUGUCUCAGUUCGGAUUGGAGUCUGCAACCCGACUCCAUGAAGCUGGAUUCGCUAGUAAUCGCGCAUCAGCCACGGCGCGGUGAAUACGUUCCCGGGCCUUGUACACACCGCCCGUCAAGCCAUGGAAGCCGGGGGUGCCUGAAGUGCGUGACCGCAAGGAGCGCCCUAGGGUAAAACCGGUGACUGGGGAUAAGUCGUAACAAGGU